GUAAUAGCUCACUGGUCGAGUCGGCCUGCGCGGAAGAUGUAACGGGGCUAAACCAUGCACCGAAGCUGCGGCAGCGACGCUUAGGCGUUGUUGGGUAGGGGAGCGUUCUGUAAGCCGUUGAAGGUGUGCUGUGAGGCAUGCUGGAGGUAUCAGAAGUGCGAAUGCUGACAUAAGUAACGAUAAAGCGGGUGAAAAGCCCGCUCGCCGGAAGACCAAGGGUUCCUGUCCAACGUUAAUCGGGGCAGGGUGAGUCGACCCCUAAGGC
rnacentral:rRNA from 1 species